GCUAAGUUUGAUGGCGACCGGCGCACGGGUGAGUAACACGUAUCCAACCUGCCGAUGACUCGGGGAUAGCCUUUCGAAAGAAAGGUUAAUACCCGAUGGCAUAGUUCUUCCGCAUGGUAGAACUAUUAAAGAAUUUCGGUCGUCGAUGGGGAUGCGUUCCAUUAGGUUGUUGGCGGGGUAACGGCCCACCAAGCCUUCGAUGGAUAGGGGUUCUGAGAGGAAGGUCCCCCACAUUGGAACUGAGACACGGUCCAAACUCCUACGGGAGGCAGCAUG
rnacentral:rRNA from 1 species